UGUUUAGUUAUCUUCAUGAUAAUGUGCUAUGAACAUAUGCAUUAUGUUUUACUCUGAUAUUGUUUUUUUUAUAUGAAAAGUGGUAUUGCAAGCAUUAUCCUUCUUAAUCUAAAAAAAUACCUUGAGGCUACUAAUAUUUGAAUUUUAACUUCUAAAGUAGAUAGAGAGUUUUAAGCAAUUUGUUUUCACAGCUGCAGAAUGUCCAUGUAUGGUAAGCUUCAAAAU